rnacentral:rRNA from 1 species
ACAGGUGGUGCAUGGUUGUCGUCAGCUCGUGUCGUGAGAUGUUGGGUUAAGUCCCGCAACGAGCGCAACCCCUAUUGCUAGUUACCAUCAUUAAGUUGGGGACUCUAGCGAGACUGCCAGUGAUAAACUGGAGGAAAGUGGGGAUGACGUCAAAUCAUCAUGCCCCUUAUGACCUGGGCUACAAACGUGAUACAAUGGCUGGAACAAAGGGAUGCGAAGCAGUGAUGUGGAGCGAAACCCAUAAAAACAGUCUCAGUUCGGAUUGAAGUCUGCAACUCGACUUCAUGAAGUCGGAAUCGCUAGUAAUCGCGGAUCAGAACGCCGCGGUGAAUACGUUCUCGGGGUUU